rnacentral:sRNA from 1 species
ACCUGAAAUAACACAGGUUGAUUGCGGCAAUGUAUC